GCGAAAAGAAAAUCCAAAUACUAUCAUCACGAGGACCGAUUUGUUUGUCGCCACUCAUAGCAGAUCUGAUGGGUCUUACCCAACACAAACACAUCUUGAAACAGCGGAAAGAAUAUUAUCGAUAGCUGGCAGUGAUCCUUCCAGUAAGCACAAGGAUUUAGACCACGACCCAGUUUCACAGGUUUGUGGUCGUGAUAGCAGAGGCCAGGUUAGGGGCAUGGGUUUGGGUAUUUCUAAGACUACUAUGAAGGUUGCCACUCCCUACAUCAUAGAAGCUCGGUCGGAGAGGAAUGCACGUAUGUCCAUUGAGGCUAAAUUUGAAGCAUCAAUGACUCAAAUGCAAGAAUUUCGUAUGAUUGUUGAGCAACAAUUUGCUGAACUUAGGCAACAAAUUACUUAUCAAAGCCAACUGCUUCACCGCUCCCCUGAU